UAGUUCCUCCUCAAACCACAGCUCGAU
rnacentral:piRNA from 1 species